rnacentral:rRNA from 1 species
UACGUAGGGCGCAAGCGUUAUCCGGAAUUUAUUGGGCGUAAAGAGCUCGUAGGCGGUUUGUCGCGUCUGCCGGUGAAAUCCGGGGCUACUCCGGAUCUGGCGGUGGGUACGGGCAGACUAGAGUGAUGUAGGGGAGACUGGAAUUCCUGGUGUAGCGGUGAAAUGCGCAGAUAUCAGGAGGAACACCGAGUGGCGAAGGCAGGUCUCUGGGCGAUUAAACUGACGCUGAGGACGAAAGCAUGGGGAGC